rnacentral:rRNA from 1 species
UACAGAGACUGCAAGCGUUAUUCGGAUUCACUGGGCGUAAAGGGUGCGCAGGCGGUCGGGUGUGUCAGAUGUGAAAUCCCGAGGCUCAACCUCGGAACUGCGUCUGAAACUACUCGACUAGAGUACUGGAGAGGGUAACGGAAUUCACGGUGUAGCAGUGAAAUGCGUAGAUAUCUGGAGGAACACCGGUGGCGAAGGCGGCAUCCUGGACCGGCAUUGACGCUGAGGCGCGAAAGCCAGGGGAGCAAACGGG